GGGUUGUGAGGUUAAGCGACUAAGCGUACACGGUGGAUGCCCUGGCAGUCAGAGGCGAUGAAGGACGUGCUAAUCUGCGAUAAGCGUCGGUAAGGUGAUAUGAACCGUUAUAACCGGCGAUUUCCGAAUGGGGAAACCCAGUGUGUUUCGACACACUAUCAUUAACUGAAUCCAUAGGUUAAUGAGGCGAACCGGGGGAACUGAAACAUCUAAGUACCCCGAGGAAAAGAAAUCAACCGAGAUUCCCCCAGUAGCGGCGAGCGAACGGGGAGCAGCCCAGAGCCUGAAUCAGUAUGUGUGUUAGUGGAAGCGUCUGGAAAGGCGCGCGAUACAGGGUGACAGCCCCGUACACAAAAAUGCACAUGCUGUGAGCUCGAUGAGUAGGGCGGGACACGUGGUAUCCUGUCUGAAUAUGGGGGGACCAUCCUCCAAGGCUAAAUACUCCUGACUGACCGAUAGUGAACCAGUACCGUGAGGGAAAGGCGAAAAGAACCCCGGCGAGGGGAGUGAAAAAGAACCUGAAACCGUGUACGUACAAGCAGUGGGAGCACGCUUAGGCGUGUGACUGCGUACCUUUUGUAUAAUGGGUCAGCGACUUAUAUUCUGUAGCAAGGUUAACCGAAUAGGGGAGCCGAAGGGAAACCGAGUCUUAACUGGGCGUUAAGUUGCAGGGUAUAGACCCGAAACCCGGUGAUCUAGCCAUGGGCAGGUUGAAGGUUGGGUAACACUAACUGGAGGACCGAACCGACUAAUGUUGAAAAAUUAGCGGAUGACUUGUGGCUGGGGGUGAAAGGCCAAUCAAACCGGGAGAUAGCUGGUUCUCCCCGAAAGCUAUUUAGGUAGCGCCUCGUGAAUUCAUCUCCGGGGGUAGAGCACUGUUUCGGCAAGGGGGUCAUCCCGACUUACCAACCCGAUGCAAACUGCGAAUACCGGAGAAUGUUAUCACGGGAGACACACGGCGGGUGCUAACGUCCGUCGUGAAGAGGGAAACAACCCAGACCGCCAGCUAAGGUCCCAAAGUCAUGGUUAAGUGGGAAACGAUGUGGGAAGGCCCAGACAGCCAGGAUGUUGGCUUAGAAGCAGCCAUCAUUUAAAGAAAGCGUAAUAGCUCACUGGUCGAGUCGGCCUGCGCGGAAGAUGUAACGGGGCUAAACCAUGCACCGAAGCUGCGGCAGCGACACUAUGUGUUGUUGGGUAGGGGAGCGUUCUGUAAGCCUGUGAAGGUGUACUGUGAGGUAUGCUGGAGGUAUCAGAAGUGCGAAUGCUGACAUAAGUAACGAUAAAGCGGGUGAAAAGCCCGCUCGCCGGAAGACCAAGGGUUCCUGUCCAACGUUAAUCGGGGCAGGGUGAGUCGACCCCUAAGGCGAGGCCGAAAGGCGUAGUCGAUGGGAAACAGGUUAAUAUUCCUGUACUUGGUGUUACUGCGAAGGGGGGACGGAGAAGGCUAUGUUGGCCGGGCGACGGUUGUCCCGGUUUAAGCGUGUAGGCUGGUUUUCCGUGCAAAUCCGGAAAAUCAAGGCUGAGGCGUGAUGACGAGGCACUACGGUGCUGAAGCAACAAAUGCCCUGCUUCCGGUGAAAAGCCUCUAAGCAUCAGGUAACAUCAAAUCGUACCCCAAACCGACACAGGUGGUCAGGUAGAGAAUACCAAGGCGCUUGAGAGAACUCGGGUGAAGGAACUAGGCAAAAUGGUGCCGUAACUUCGGGAGAAGGCACGCUGAUAUGUAGGUGAAGUCCCUCGCGGAUGGAGCUGAAAUCAGUCGAAGAUACCAGCUGGCUGCAACUGUUUAUUAAAAACACAGCACUGUGCAAACACGAAAGUGGACGUAUACGGUGUGACGCCUGCCCGGUGCCGGAAGGUUAAUUGAUGGGGUUAGCCGCAAGGCGAAGCUCUUGAUCGAAGCCCCGGUAAACGGCGGCCGUAACUAUAACGGUCCUAAGGUAGCGAAAUUCCUUGUCGGGUAAGUUCCGACCUGCACGAAUGGCGUAAUGAUGGCCAGGCUGUCUCCACCCGAGACUCAGUGAAAUUGAACUCGCUGUGAAGAUGCAGUGUACCCGCGGCAAGACGGAAAGACCCCGUGAACCUUUACUAUAGCUUGACACUGAACAUUGAGCCUUGAUGUGUAGGAUAGGUGGGAGGCUUGGAAGUGUGGACGCCAGUCUGCAUGGAGCCGACCUUGAAAUACCACCCUUUAAUGUUUGAUGUUCUAACGUUGACCCGUAAUCCGGGUUGCGGACAGUGUCUGGUGGGUAGUUUGACUGGGGCGGUCUCCUCCUAAAGAGUAACGGAGGAGCACGAAGGUUGGCUAAUCCCCGGUCGGACAUCAGGAGGUUAGUGCAAUGGCAUAAGCCAGCUUGACUGCGAGCGUGACGGCGCGAGCAGGUGCGAAAGCAGGUCAUAGUGAUCCGGUGGUUCUGAAUGGAAGGGCCAUCGCUCAACGGAUAAAAGGUACUCCGGGGAUAACAGGCUGAUACCGCCCAAGAGUUCAUAUCGACGGCGGUGUUUGGCACCUCGAUGUCGGCUCAUCACAUCCCCGGGGCUGAAGUAGGUCCCAAGGGUAUGGCUGUUCGCCAUUUAAAGUGGUACGCGAGCUGGGUUUAGAACGUCGUGAGACAGUUCGGUCCCUAUCUGCCGUGGGCGCUGGAGAACUGAGGGGGGCUGCUCCUAGUACGAGAGGACCGGAGUGGACGCAUCACUGGUGUUCGGGUUGUCAUGCCAAUGGCACUGCCCGGUAGCUAAAUGCGGAAGAGAUAAGUGCUGAAAGCAUCUAAGCACGAAACUUGCCCCGAGAUGAGUUCUCCCUGACUCCUUGAGAGUCCUGAAGGAACGUUGAAGACGACGACGUUGAUAGGCCGGGUGUGUAAGCGCAGCGAUGCGUUGAGCUAACCGGUACUAAUGAACCGUGAGGCUUAACCUUACAACGCCGAAGGUGUUU
rnacentral:rRNA from 1 species